UAAAAACAUGUCCACUCUUAGAUCCUGUGGGUAGUUUUAAUCAUAGCCCUUGCUGGAACUGGACAUGAAAGGCUAUAGCUACAAAUGUUUUAUGAUCUUUGACUUUCCUGAGUCUACCUUUCACUUCUGAAGCAUGACGUAGGAGAUUGUCAUGUUCAGAUGUGGUCACAAUAACAGGGAAUUCUCUGGACUGCUUGUUCGGUUGUGUUGAUGCCACAAACUACAGCGAAGGAGACUGAGUGAUGAGUUUAGUCCGUACAUGGGCAGAAGGACGUCCAGCUCUCUGUCUCUGAGCAAUGGAACAGCUUCCCCCAGACCAGAGCCCUCCGGAUGUCACUCUGCACCUCAGAGGAAAAGGCUCCUGAAUGCUCCCAGCCUCUCCGAGCUUACCAACUCAGACUCUGAUGACGAGAUUUUUGGGCACAUAUCAGCCAGCAGCUCCAGUAUGGCCACAUCUGUGAUGGAUGAUACAUCGCCGGAGUCGGUGCUGGGGAUAAAAAG